rnacentral:rRNA from 1 species
UGCCGUGAGGUGUUGGGUUAAGUCCCGCAACGAGCGCAACCCUCGUCGUUAGUUACUAUGUCUAGCGAGACUGCUCCUAAAAGGGGAGAGGAAGGUGGGGACGAGGUCAAGUCGGCACGGCUCUUACGCCCAGGGCUACACACACGCUACAAUGGUCAGAACAGAGGGUCGCGAUGGCGCGAGCCGGAGCUAAUCCCACAAAUCUGGCCCCAGUUGGAAUUGCAGGCUGAAACUCGCCUGCAUGAACGCGGAGUCGCUAGUAAUCGCAGGUCAGCACACUGCGGUGAAUACGUUCCCGGGGAUUGUACACACCGCCCGUCAAGUCAUGGAAGUCGGUAACACUUGAAGUCGCUGGGCUAACCGCAAGGAGGCAGGCGCCGAGGGUGGGACUGGUGACUGGGACUAAGUCGUAACAAGGUAGCUGUACCGGAAGGUGCGGCUGGAUCACCUCCUUU